GCUUUCUUCUUCUGGCCCUUUCCCUCGAAUUGGUGUCAGUCAAUCAUGGCUUCCUUGGUGCGGAUGUACUUCUGUGCAUGCUCAAAGAAUUCGAUGUAGGAUCAAGGAAGUGUCUUAUCCAAAGAGUAGGUGAACUUAGACUUCCAGAGUCCCCACUUCAUCGCUGCAAUGGCUGUUGCCUGAUCGAGGUCUUUGACCUCUAGGGUGGCAGUGUUGAAACAUGCUACAAACUCUCGCAAAGAUUUUUCAUCUUGCUGAUGGAUAGAGAAA
rnacentral:lncRNA from 1 species